rnacentral:rRNA from 1 species
UUUUUCAGUAGUUUAAGACAUGCAAAUCGUUUGUUUCCCAAAUCUUUAUUAAUUUUUAAUUUUAAGUUAAUAUUAGUAUUAAGAAACAAGGUGUAAAGGUGAGGAAAGUAAAUGAGGUACCAUACAGACUUCGUAAAUAGGGGAUAGUUCUUUUUUUAGGUUUAAGAUCUUUAAUUAGAUUACAAACCAGACAGACAAAAAAGCUAUUUUGUUGAUAAGAACAAAGGAAAUUUUCCGCUGUAUGUUUCAAUUUAUGUUGUUUAGGUAGUUGGUGGGGUAGGAGCCUACCAAGCCGACGAUCAAUAGUCAAGUUCGAGAGAGCCACUGGCCACAUUGGGAAUGAAAUCUCCCAAGUAGUUUAUCUACCUGCAGUCAAGAAUAUUAGUCAAUGCUCGCAAGAGUGAACUAGCUAACUGAAAUCAUUAAUGUUUCCCCAGUGUUUCAUUAAUGAUGUCGUAAGGGAAAAUAAUGAUGAUACCUUACUAUGAGCGUUGUCCAAAUCUAGUGCCAGAAGACUCGGUAAGGCUAGGGACGCAAACGUUAACCGUAUUAAACAGGCGUAAAGGGUUUGUAGGCAGCUUUAAGUAUCCUAUUUUCCAAUAUAGCUGUACUUUUACAAAAAUUGUUUUAAUUAUAUUUUAUUAAAUUAUAAAAUAUAAAAAAAAAGACAAUCAUAAAGUAAUUGUAAAUACAAUAUAAUUAUAUUGUAGUUAAAGAGAAGAUCAAUUAAAGCUAGAAUCUAGCUGGGGAUAUAUAAAUAAUACUUAGAGUAGGGCUGAGAUCCGUAUAAACUAAGGGGAAUAUUAAAGGCGUAGGCUAUUUAUCCUUUAAAGAUUGACGCUGAGAAACGAAGGUGAGGAUAGGAAAUAGGAUUAGAGACCCAGGUACCCUCUCUGUCAACGAUGAAUGGUGGCUGCUAGAUAUAAUAAUUUAUUUAAAAUUAUGUUACAAAGAUCUGGUGGCGAUGUUAAGGCGAUAACCAUUCCGCCUUGUGAGUACGGCUGCAAAGCUGAAAUCAAAAAAUUAGUCGGUCUCGAAGCAAACGAAGUGAAGCAUGUUAUUUAAUACGAUAAUCCGCGUAAAAUCUUACCAGUUCUUGUAUAAAAUUUAGACUUAUUCCCUAAUUAAAUUGAUUUAUUUAAUUAGUUUAAUUUGGUUAAAUAGUUGUAUUAUCUAUUAUUAAAUAAAAAUUUUAUUUAGUGUAGAUAAGAAAAAAUAAGAUGUAUUUUAAUUUAUUUUAAAAACGCUUAUUACAGGUGUUGCAUGGCUGUCUUCAGUCCAUAUCGUGAGAAUUGAGGUUAGCUCCACAAACGGACGCAAUCCCUACUAUUAAUUUAUACUUAAUAGUUAAUGGUUUCUAAAAAGGUACCAAUAGGGGUUAAGACAAGUCGUUAUGGCCCUAAUGAACUGGGCUAUAGACGUGCCACAGAAACUUUUACAAAGUGAAGCAAAACCGUAUCUUUUUUAAAGAUACAUAGGGAAGAGCUAAUCAUUAAAGAAAGUUAAUUAUUAAAUGAUAGUCGGAUUGUUGUCUGAAAUUCGGCAGCAUGAAGAAGGAAUUUCGAGUAAUCGUUGAUCACUAGCGCAACGGUGAAGUAUUUAUUCGUGAUGAACUAACUGUCCGUCGCUGGGAAGGAGCUUAACUUGGUGGAAACUGAAGCACUGAAAAAUAUUGCAAAGAUUAAUAUAAUAUUUUUAUAUGAGAAAAAAUGAGAAAAAGAAAAUUCUUUUCCUCAUUUGAUUAAUUAUAAAAAUAAAGUAUUUGUUUGAAGUUUUUAAACAAUAGUUUAGUAAACCAUUAGACAUCUUUGUUUUAAGUUUGAUGAGUUCCUGUUAAUCCAUUUAA